UGGGGAAUAUUGGACAAUGGGCGCAAGCCUGAUCCAGCAAUGCCGCGUGGGUGAAGAAGGCCUGCGGGUUGUAAAGCCCUUUAAGUGGGGAGGAACACCGGAAUGCGAACAGGAUUCCGGGCUGACGUUACCCACAGAAUAAGCACCGGCUAACUCCGUGCCAGCAGCCGCGGUAAUACGGGGGGUGCAAGCGUUAAUCGGAAUUACUGGGCGUAAAGCGUGCGUAGGCGGUUGAGUCAGUCAGUCGUGAAAGCCCUGGGCUUAACCUGGGAACGGCGAUUGAGACGGCUCGACUAGAGUGGGCUAGAGGAUCGUGGAAUUCCGGGUGUAGCGGUGAAAUGCGUAGAGAUCCGGAGGAACACCGAUGGCGAAGGCAGCGGUCUGGGGCCACACUGACGCUGAGGCACGAAAGCGUGGGGAGCAAACA
rnacentral:rRNA from 1 species